rnacentral:rRNA from 1 species
GACGAACGCUGGCGGCGUGCUUAACACAUGCAAGUCGAACGGACAGACAGAGAGCUUGCUCUCUUGAAGUUAGUGGCGAACGGGUGAGUAACGCGUAAUCAACCUGCCCUUCAGAGGGGGAUAACAACGGGAAACCGUUGCUAAUACCGCGUACGAUUCAUGAACGGCAUCGUUUAUGAAUGAAAGGUGGCCUCUAUGUAUAAGCUAUCGCUGAAGGAGGGGACUGGGUCUGAUUAGCUAGUUGGAGGGGUAACGGCCCACCAAGGCAAUGAUCAGUAGCCGGUCUGGGAGGAUGAACGGCCACAUUGGGACUGAGACACGGCCCAAACUCCUACGGGAGGCAGCAGUGGGGAAUCUUCCGCAAUGGACGAAAGUCUGACGGAGCAACGCCGCGUGAGUGAUGAAGGUCUUCGGAUUGUAAAGCUCUGUUAAUCGGGACGAAAGAGUUCUGCGUGAAUAAUGCAGAAAAGUGACGGUACCGGAAUAGAAAGCCACGGCUAACUACGUGCCAGCCGCCGCCGUAA